rnacentral:pre_miRNA from 1 species
UAUAUACUCCCUCCGUCCGAAAAUACUUGUCAUCAAAAUGGAUAAAAAGAGAUGUAUCUAGAACUAAAAUAUGUCUAGAUACAUUCCCUUUUAUUCAUUUUGAUGACAAGUAUUUCCGGACGGAGAGAGUACACA